UACGUAGGGUGCGAGCGUUAAUCGGAAUUACUGGGCGUAAAGCGUGCGCAGGCGGCGCGUUAAGACAGGUGUGAAAGCCCCGAGCUUAACUUGGGAAUUGCGCUUGUGACUGGCGUGCUGGAGUGUGGCAGAGGGAGGUGGAAUUCCACGUGUAGCAGUGAAAAUGCGCAGAUAUCAGGAGGAACACCAGUGGCGAAGGCGGGACUCUGGGCCGAUACUGACGCUGAGGAGCGAAAAGCGUGGGGGAGCAAAACAGG
rnacentral:rRNA from 1 species